rnacentral:tRNA from 1 species
GCUAUCGUAGCUCAAUUGGUAGAGCAACGCCCCUGUAAGGCGUAGGCUAUGUGUUCAAGGCACAUCGAUAGCCCA